rnacentral:rRNA from 1 species
UUAAUUGAAGAGUUUGAUCAUGGCUCAGAUUGAACGCUGGCGGCAGGCCUAACACAUGCAAGUCGAACGGUAGCAGGAAGUGCUUGCACUUCGCUGACGAGUGGCGGACGGGUGAGUAAUGCUUGGGAACUUGCCUUUGCGAGGGGGAUAACAGUUGGAAACGACUGCUAAUACCGCAUAACGUCUACGGACCAAACGGGGCUUAGGCUCCGGCGCAGAGAGAGGCCCAAGUGAGAUUAGCUAGUUGGUGAGGUAAAGGCUCACCAAGGCGACGAUCUCUAGCUGUUCUGAGAGGAAGAUCAGCCACACUGGGACUGAGACACGGCCCAGACUCCUACGGGAGGC